rfam:Clostridium sp. CAG:62 genomic scaffold, scf209
AGAAAUCUUCAGGGCGGGGUGCAAUUCCCCACCGGCGGUAAAGCCCGCGAGCGACCUUGGUUGCCGAUUCGGUGAAAUUCCGAAGCCGACAGUAUAGUCUGGAUGAAAGAAGAUAAAC